rnacentral:rRNA from 1 species
GACGAACGCUGGCGGCGUGCUUCACACAUGCAAGUCGAACGAUGAAGCCGGAGCUUGCUCUGCUGAAUUAGUGGCGAACGGGUGAGUAACACGUGAGUAACCUGCCCUUAACUCUGGGAUAACUGCCAGAACUGGUAGCUAAUACCGGAUACGACCCUCGGAGGCAUCUACGUGGGGUGGAAAGAAUCUCGGUCAAUGUUGGACUCGCGGCCUAUCAGCUAGUUGGUGAGGUAACGGCUCACCAAGGCGACGACGGGUAGCCGGCCUGAGAGGGGAAACGGGCAGAAAGGGACUGAGACACGGCCCUUACAUCUACGGAUGGCAGCAACAGGGAAUCGUACGCAAUGGACGCAAGUCUGACGUCGCAAUGCCGCGUGGAGGAUGAAGGCCUUCGGGUCGUAAACUCCUUUUACAGUAAUAGAGAUGUUAUUGAGAAUAAGCACCUGCUAACUCUGUGCCAGCAGCCGCCGUAA